rfam:Schistosoma rodhaini strain Burundi genome assembly, scaffold: SROB_scaffold0011056
AUCCAGCUGACUAGUCCCAACUAGGACGCAACGCGUGUCCUGGAU